rnacentral:lncRNA from 1 species
UGCCUUAGACCACUGCGCCACUCCGGAGGCCCUCUCUCGCUCUUAUCCCCCCCUCUCUCUCUUUUAUCCCUCUCUCUUUUAUCCCUCUCUCUUAUCUCUCUCCCUCUUUCUCUCUCUCUCUUUCUCUCUCUCUUAACCCCCCCCUCUCGCUCUCUUUUAUCCCCCUCUCUCUCUCUCUAUCAUCCCUCUCUCUCAUCCCUCUCUCUUAUCCCUAUAACUCUCUCUCCCUCUUGUCCCCCUCUCUCUCUUAUCCUCCUCUGUCUCUUGCUCUUUAUCAUCCCCCUCUCUCUCUUUUAUACCUCUCUCUUAUCCCUCUCUCUUAUCCCUAUAUCUCUCUCUCCCUCUUGUCCCCCUCUCUCUCUUAUCCUCCUCUGUCUCUUGCUCUUUAUCAUCCCCCUAUCUCUCUUUUAUACCUCUCUCUUUAUCAUUUUUCUCUUUUAUCCCCCUCUCUCGCUCUCCCUCUCUUUCUCUCAUCCCCCUCUCUCAAUCUCUUUUCUAUCUCUCUCUCUCUCUCUCUCUCUCUUAUUCCUCUCUCUCUCUCUCUCUCUCUCUCUUAUUCCUCUCUCUCAUCCCCAUCGCUCUCUUUUAUCCUUUUUCUCUCUCUUAUCCCCAUCUCUCACUCUCUCUCUUGCUCUUAUCCCCUCUCUCCAAUCUCGUAUCUCUCUCUCACUUACCCUCUAUCUUUCUCUCCCUCUUUUAUCCCCAUCUCUCUCUCUCAUCCCCCUCUCUGUCUUUUAUCCCCUUUCUCUCAUAUCCUUCUCUCUACCAUCCCCUCUCUCUCUUUUAUCCUUUUUCUCUCUCAUAUCCCCCCCUCUCUCUCUUAUCCCCCUCUUUCAAUCUCUUAUCUCUCUCCUUCUCUCCCUCUUAUCUCUCGCUCUCUCGCUCUAUUUCUGUUAUCCCCUCUCUCUCUUACCCCCAGCCUCUCUCUCUCUCUUAUCCCCCUCUCCAAUCUAUUUUAUCCCUCUCUCUUUUCUCCUUUUUCUCUCUCUUAUCCCCCUCUUUAUCUCUCUCUCUUAUCCCUCCCCUCUCCAAUCUCUUUUAUCCCUCUCUCUUUCUCUCUCUCUCACCCCCUUUCUCAAAUCUCUCUCUUUUAUCCCCUUUCUUUCGUAUCCCCAUCUUUCUCUCUUAUCCUCUCUCUCUCGCUCUCUCUCUCUUGCACUUAUCCCCUUCUCUCCAAUCUAUUUUCUGUCUUUCUCUCUCUCCCUCUCCCUCUUUUAUCUCUCUCUCUUAUCCCCCUCUCUCCAAUCUUGUUUCUCUCUCUCUCUCUCUCUCUCUCUCUCUCUCUCAUCCUCCUCUCUAUUUUAUCCCCUCUCUCUCUCUCUCAUCCCCCUCUCUCUUUUAUCCCAUUUCUCUCUUAUCCUUCUCUCUCUUAUCCCCAUAUCUCUCUCUCCCUCUUGUCCCCCUCUCUCCAAUCUCUUUUAUCCCUCUCUUAUCCCCAUCUCGCUCUCUCGCUCUCGUUCUCUUAUCCCCUCUCUCUCUUACCCCCCCUCUCUCUCACCCCCCUCUCUCCAAUCUCUCUCUCUUUCUCUCUCUCAUCCCCCCUCUCAAUCGCUUAUCUCUCUCUCUCUCAUCCCCCCUCUCAAUCUCUUUUCUCUCUCUCUCUCUCUCUCUCUCUGUUAUCUCUCUCUCUCUGUCCUUCUCUCUAAAUUAAAUUCAAGGGGCUUUAUUGGCAUGGGAAACAUAUGUUAA